rnacentral:lncRNA from 1 species
ACUGUCGUCUCCUCAAGUCAAUUCUGCAGGCACAGGUCUGAGCUUUCCUCCGUUCCUCCCUUUGUUCCAUGUGAUUGAAUGGGUUUAAGUGAUGGUCAUCAACUUUCCAAACUGAUUUCUCGCCCAGGUGUGUUUUGUCUGAGAAUAUCAGAAAUCCUGGCUCUGUUGUCAGUGAAGUCAUUGGAUGGACCAGUUUGGAUGUUAGAAACUGAGCAAAGGCUUUCUGCAGACUUUUGCAAAAGAAACUCUUUUUAACGCUUGAGAGAGAGCCAGUCAGUUUCUCUGUCACUCUCUCCCUCUCUCUAUCUCUCUAGUUCCAACACUCAAUGGCAGAGAUAAAUGAGUUGCCACACACAUGCCAGGGCUCCACUCACUUUUGCCACUUUUUUCACGUCUAAGAUCCAAAUGUAAGGAUGGUACUGCCCAUGGUAGGCUGGGUUUUCCCAUGUCAACCAACACACUCAACGAAAUACCCAGUAGACAUGCCCACAGGGCAUCCUGAUAUAGAGAGUCUCUUCUGGAGACUUUCCUCCCUUGGGAUUCUAGAUUAUGUGAAGAUGAUAGUUGAAACUUUCACAAUACCUUAUUGAUAUUCAUAUUAUCUAUGGACAUUCGCCAGUGUAUGUUAGGAAAUGUUGCCUGGUCAUUUUAGCUACCCUAACAUCGGAAACUUAGAAACCUUUAACAUAAAACUUACCUCACUAAUGCCUACUACAUCAUAAUUUCAAGACUGUGGUCUGAGAAAUAAUAUUUGGACAAUUCUAUCAUAACUGAUGAUUUGGGGUCGCCCUUUGAGUUGGGUGUCUUUUAUCCACAGUGAAGGUUCUGAGUGAAGCUGGACGUUCAGCCCUGCCUGUGUAUGCGGAGAAGAUGGUAGACUGCAAACCUCUAAGGAAGGCAGUAGGGGUGUCUCCGGUUCUUUCAUCUCUCACUCAAUGUUAUUAUUACUUUUAACCUAAAUUAUUUUAAUUAUAAUUAAUUGUAUCUUGAGGAUUCUUUCGGUCAUCUCAUGUUAAAAAUUAAGACAAGUAAGUAAUAUGUAGAUAAGAAAGUUGCAAAUAAUCCCGUGAUUUAGAGACAAUACAAGUUUAGCUUUCUGCUUCUUUUUGGGGGGAAGGGGAGCAAGGAAGGAGCUAGGGUCUCACUGUAUAACCUUAGUAGGUCUGAAGUGCAAUAGGUAGGCCAGGGUGGCCUUGAGCUUGUAGCCAUUCUCAUGUCUCUUGCCUUUGUUUCCCAAACGCUGAGAUGACAGGGAUGCGACAUUACACUCAGCUUGGCUUUCUACUUCCUUUUUAAGGGACCUUGAAAGUUUGACAAAAACUUGAAGGUUAAAAAUCUUUAUUCCUAAGCAAUGAUGAGAUCAGUUUCUGUUCUCACAGUUGAAACCAAAAGAAAUGAUCUGCUUUCGUUAAAUAACACAGUUACCUUAACAAAAAUACAAAACAUGCAAGCAAAUGAAACCACUCCUAAGGAUUUUGCUGAGGCUUUUUGUAACUGAUCAAAUAAAAUGGUAUUAUAAAUACUAUUUGUCCCUUCCAAGUGAAUUAUAUUUUUCUCAUUAGUAGUUAAUAAUUUAUUGGAUACCUGCUGUUUAGUAGACCUUUUUACUGGGCGAUGUUAGACUGAUGACUCCUGCCAUAACUUCUUAUGGCCCUUGAAUACUGAAUUGUCAAGUAUCAGAAAUUGUGCUGUAGGUCACACUCUCAACUUGUUGAGGAAGUAGCCUUCAUGGUCUGCCGACUCGUUAUUGUGUCGCGUGGCCUCGCGGAGUCCGAUGCAGCCUGUGGGCUCUGCACCCAAUCUUAGCAAAUGGAGAAAAGAGCCGUAAUAUCGACAACCAUGGUGGGAUGGCAGGAAAGAAAGGCUCCAGGUAAAACCUGACAGUGAGCCCGCGUUGGCUACAGAAACCAACAGAGCCCUGCUCCGACCCUAAGAAACCCACAGCAGUGUACAGAAAGCGACAGCAAAGGAGCCUUCCUUUUGGGAGGUACUGCCUCUCACUUGGGAUGGGCAGCUACACCGGCACCAUCAACAGAGACGUGAGUCACUCGAUGGGCGAGGGGCUGAGUUUCCAGUCAUCCAGUGUGAGGUACUUUAACUACAAUACUUAGGAAACUUCAUUGUGGGUGAACUAAAGGCGGGCAUUUGAAAAUGUGUAACAAAUGAAGUGGAUAAUUUGAGGACAUGCUUGACAUUAUUCCAUGCCAAGAUGUUCACAGAUGACUUGAUUACAACAGGUUUGCUUCUUUCUCCCUCCCCCCUUUCCCUUCCCUUCCUUUCUCACUCUAGGGACCGACCCCUGAGUCUUAUUCAUGCUGGGCUGGCUCUUCCACUGAGCCACCCCCAACCUCUGAGCCUUAUAAAGCACCGGAAGAGUGGGAGCGUCACGGGUGGGUCUUACAUCACGGACCCUAGGACAGGAGAUGCGGUUGCGUGGCAUUUACGCAUCCAUCUGUGAAAGUGGCUGGCAGUUAGGCUCCUGUACAACUUUCCCGAGUGUCAUCAAGUUUACCUGUGACGACUUGGGUGUGCUUGUGAACUUUCAGCUUUGAACGUAGGGGCUCCCAGGAAGGAGCAGAAGCAGACAUGGAAGAAGGAGAGAGGAAGGCAGAAGUGAUGUCAUUAUAUUUUAAUUAAAAUAUAUUAAAGAUAGAACUA